rnacentral:rRNA from 1 species
UAGUCAUAUGCUUGUCUCAAAGAUUAAGCCAUGCAUGUCUAAGUAUAAAUAACUUUACUGUGAAACUGCGAAUGGCUCAUUAAAUCAGUUAUAAUUUAUUUGAUAGUACCUUACCAAUUGGAUAACCGUGGUAAUUCUAGAGCUAAUACAUGCUAAAAAUCCCUACUUCUGGAGGGGAGGUGUUUUUUAUAUACAAAACCAACCCGGGCAACCGGUUUUUGGAGGAUUCAUAAUAACUUUUCGAAUCGUAUGACCUUGCGUCGACGAUGGUUCUUUCAAAUUUCUGCCCUAUCAACUUUCUAUGGUAGGAUAGAGGCCUACCAUGGUUUUAACGGGUAACAGAGAAUUAGGGUUCGAUUCCGGAGAGGGAGCCUGAGAAACCGCUACCACAUCCAAGGAAGGCANAUCGCGCGCAAAUUACCCAAUCCUGAUACAUGGAGGUAGAGACAAUAAAUAACAAUGCANAGCCCUCUAGGUUUUGCAAUUGGAAUGAGUACAACUUUNAUCCCUUAACUAGAAUCAAUUG